rnacentral:rRNA from 1 species
GAUGAACGCUGGCGGCGUGCCUAAUACAUGCAAGUCGAGCGAAUGGAUUAAGAGCUUGCUCUUAUGAAGUUAGCGGCGGACGGGUGAGUAACACGUGGGUAACCUGCCCAUAAGACUGGGAUAACUCCGGGAAACCGGGGCUAAUACCGGAUAACAUUUUGAACCGCAUGGUUCGAAAUUGAAAGGCGGCUUCGGCUGUCACUUAUGGAUGGACCCGCGUCGCAUUAGCUAGUUGGUGAGGUAACGGCUCACCAAGGCAACGAUGCGUAGCCCGCCUUAGAGGGGGAUCGGCCACACUGGGACCAAGCGACGGCCCAGACUCCUAAGGGAGGCAGCAGUAGGGAAUCGUCCGAAAUGGACGCAAGUCUGACGGAGCAACGCCGCGUGAGUGAAGAAGGGUUUCGGCUCGUAAAACUCUGUUGUUAAGGAAGAACGCCAGGUAGAGUAACUGCUACCUGUGUGACGGUACUUAACCAGAAAGCCACGGCUAACUACGUGCCAGCCGCCGCAGUAA